UGGGGAAUAUUGCACAAUGGGCGCAAGCCUGAUGCAGCAACGCCGCGUGAGGGAUGACGGCCUUCGGGUUGUAAACCUCUUUUAGUAGGGAAGAAGCGAAAGUGACGGUACCUGCAGAAAAAGCACCGGCUAACUACGUGCCAGCAGCCGCGGUAAUACGUAGGGUGCGAGCGUUGUCCGGAAUUAUUGGGCGUAAAGAGCUCGUAGGCGGUCUGUCGCGUCUGCUGUGAAAACCCCGAGGCUCAACCUCGGGCCUGCAGUGGGUACGGGCAGACUAGAGUGCGGUAGGGGAGAAUGGAAUUCCUGGUGUAGCGGUGGAAUGCGCAGAUAUCAGGAGGAACACCGAUGGCGAAGGCAGUUCUCUGGGCCGUAACUGACGCUGAGGAGCGAAAGCGUGGGGAGCGAACAGGAUUAGAUACCCUGGUAGUCCACGCCGUAAACGUUGGGCGCUAGAUGUGGGGCACCAUUCCACGGUUUCCGUGUCGCAGCU
rnacentral:rRNA from 1 species